GAUUAACGCUGGCGGCAUGCCUAAUACAUGCAAAUCGAACGAAGCCUUUUUGGCUUAGUGGUGAACGGGUGAGUAACACGUAUCCAAUCUACCCUUAAGUUUGGGAUAACUAGUCGAAAGAUUAGCUAAUACCGGAUAAUAACAUUUACUUGCAUGAGUGAAUGUAGAAAGUUGCGUUUGCAACGCUUUUGGAUGAGGGUGCGACGUAUCAGAUAGUUGGUGAGGUAACGGCUCACCAAGUCAUUGACGCGUAGCUGUACUGAGAGGUAGAACAGCCACAAUGGGACUGAGACACGGCCCAUACUCCUACGGGAGGCAGCAGUAGGGAAUUUCUCACAAUGGGCGAAAGCCUUAUGAAGCAAUGCCGCGUGAACGAUGAAGGUCUAUAAGAUUGUAAAGUUCUUUUAUUUGGGAAGAACCACUAAAAUAGGAAAUGAUUUUAGUUUGACUGUACCAUUUGAAUAAGUAUCGGCUAACUAUGUGCCAGCAGCCGCGGUAAUACAUAGGAUGCAAGCGCUAUCCGGAUUUACUGGGCGUAAAACGAGCGCAGGCGGAUUUGUAAGUUUGGUAUGAAAUCUAGAUGCUUAACGUCUAGCUGUAUCAAAAACUACGAAUCUAGAGUGUAGCAGAGAGUUGGGGAACUCCAUGUGGAGCGGUAAAAUGCGUAGAUAUAUGGAAGAACACCGGUGGCGAAGGCGCCAACUUGGACUAUUACUGACGCUUAGGCUCGAAAGUGUGGGGAGCAAAUAGGAUUAGAUACCCUAGUAGUCCACACCGUAAACGAUCAUCAUUAAAUGUCGGCUCGCUUAUGAGUCGGUGUUGUAGCUAACGCAUUAAAUGAUGUGCCUGGGUAGUACAUUCGCAAGAAUGAAACUCAAACGGAAUUGACGGGGACCCGCACAAGUGGUGGAGCAUGUUGCUUAAUUUGACAAUACACGUAGAACCUUACCUAGGUUUGACAUCUAUUGCAAUGCUAUAGAAAUAUAGCGGAGGUUAACAAUAUGACAGGUGGGUGCAUGGGUUGUCGUCAGCUCGUGUCGUGAGAUGUUGGGUUAAGUCCCCGCAACGAGCGCAACCCCUUUCGCUAGUUAAUUUAUCUAUCGAUACUGCUACCGCAAGGUAGAGGAAGGUGGGGAUGACGUCAAAUCAUUAUGCCCCUUAUAUCUAGGGCUGCAAACGUGCUACAAUGGCUAAUACAAACAGCUGCAAUACCGUAAGGUGGAGCGAAUCUGAUAAAGUUAGUCUCAGUUCGGAUAGAGGGCUGCAAUUCGCCCUCUUGAAGUUGGAAUCACUAGUAAUCGCGAAUCAGACAUGUCGCGGUGAAUACGUUCUCGGGUCUUGUACACACCGCCCGUCAAACUAUGGGAGCCGGUAAUAUCUGAAACCGUACUGUUAACCUUUUUGGAGGCAUACGUCUAGGGUAGGAUUGGUGACUGGAGUU
rnacentral:rRNA from 1 species